CCUGGCCCAGGAAGUCCCGCCCCAGGCUUCACCAUGGCGUUGACUUGCUGCACCGCGCGCCCGAAGUUGGUUGCUUGAAAGCCAGUGGUGCCGAAGGCUUCCAGCAGUGCGCGCAAGACUUUGAACCCCUCGGUGGCGUCUGUAUCUCAGAAGCAUCCUCCUAACAGUGCACAGAGUCUAGUGCGGACGCGUUUGUUCACUCUAUCUACAACUUAUGGAGUCUUUAUAUUGGGCUCUGCUAGGCACUGAGGACUUAGCGAUGAUUAAGACCAAGACUUGGACCCUGCCCUCCUGGAGCCCAUAGUCUGAUUGGGAAGAUAGAAAGUUAACAGUGAAGAAAUUUGGACACAAAAAUUGACAACAGGGAUGCCCGUACACAGAGGGAAGGUCAUGUGAGGACAUGGCAAGAAGGCCACCAUUUACAAGCCAAGAAGAGAAGCCUCAGAAGAAACCAAACCUACCAACACCUCAAUCUUGGAUUUCCAGCCUCCAGAACUGUGAGAAAAUAAAUUUCUGUUGUUUAAGCCACUCAGUUGGUGGUAUUUUGCUUCAGGGGCCUAAGCUGACUCAUACAACACUGAAUGAAUAAAUGAAUGAAUGAACAAACACAAAGGC